rnacentral:tRNA from 1 species
GAUAAGGAACUGCGCAUUGGUCUUGUUUAGUCUUGAGAGGUCUUGUGGGGCCUUAGCUCAGCUGGGAGAGUCUGCCUGCUUUGCACGCAGGAGGUCAGCGGUUCGAUCCCGCUAUGCUCCAUUGGUGAGAGAUCAUCCAAGUAAUUGCACAUUGAAAAUUGAAUAUCUAUAUCAAAUAGUAACAAGAAAAUAAAUCUCUAUAUAGUAGUUGUAGUAUUAAAAUGAGUUUAUGACUGAAAGGUCAAAAAUAAGGUUAAGUUAAUA